rnacentral:rRNA from 1 species
UACGGAGGGUGCAAGCGUUAUCCGGAUUCACUGGGGUUAAAGGGUGCGUAGGUGGGCGAGAAAGUCAGUGGUGAAAUCUCCGGGCUUAACCCGGACACUGCCAUUGAUACUAUCUGUCUUGAAUAUUGUGGAGGUGAGCGGAAUAUGUCAUGUAGCGGUGAAAUGCUUAGAUAUGACCUAGAACACCAAUUGCGAAGUCAGCUCGCUACACAUAUAUUGACUCUGAGGCACGAAAGCGUGGUGAUCAAACAGG